rnacentral:rRNA from 1 species
CGGGUGAGUAAUACAUCGGAACGUGCCCAGUAGUGGGGGAUAACCCGGCGAAAGCCGGACUAAUACCGCAUACGACCUACGGGUGAAAGCAGGGGAUCGCAAGACCUUGCGCUAUUGGAGCGGCCGAUGUCAGAUUAGCUAGUUGGCGGGGUAAGAGCCCACCAAGGCGACGAUCUGUAGCUGGUCUGAGAGGACGACCAGCCACACUGGGACUGAGACACGGCCCAG